UACGAAGGGUGCAAGCGUUAAUCGGAAUUACUGGGCGUAAAGCGUGCGCAGGCGGUUUCUUAAGUCAGAUGUGAAAGCCCCGGGCUUAACCUGGGAACUGCGUUUGAAACUGGGAGACUUGAGUGUGGCAGAGGGGGGUGGAAUUCCACGUGUAGCAGUGAAAUGCGUAGAUAUGUGGAGGAACACCGAUGGCGAAGGCAGCCCCCUGGGUUAACACUGACGCUCAUGCACGAAAGCGUGGGGAGCAAACAGG
rnacentral:rRNA from 1 species